GGGCGUGAGGGUGAUCUGGCUGUGUUAUCUGCCACACGCUGAUCACCAGGUUGAUUUGACUCACACGGCUGGGUAGGUAGGUGUCCCCUGCUUUUUCCUCUUCUGUCCAUGUGUCCUUCCUAAAGCUUCUCUCCGUGGAAGACAACCUUCCCCAACAGGGGCCCACCUUGCUUGGAAGUGUGCACAGAGUGCGGGUCUUUCUGCAGAAAUCUCCAAACAAGCUUUUAAGGCCCAAACUAUUAAAACCCCGGUACCAACAGGUCACGUCUACAAGAAAUUACGCAUAGAAAAUAUAGUCAGAUCAUU
rnacentral:snRNA from 1 species